GACCAGGCCUGCUCUCAAGGAGCCCCGAGGUCUCUGCUGAAGUGCAAAAGAGGGACACAGUUCGAUCCUGUGUGCACUGUUUAAAACGAAAUAAAAACAACUUCGAAAACAAUCGCAGACCAGUGGAAGAGACAAAGGUGACGGUGAUGACAAGCACCUUUCUUAGUUCCUUCCGGCCAGAGGACUGAUACCUACCCCAGUGAUGAGUCUAAAGCAAGCUGUUUGAAGGAAUUAUGCAAAUAUCACGAUGGAGUAAAUGAUGAGGGGCCAACCUCUCCUUGAUCUUCAUCUGCUUUGUCCCAUGGUGGCCUCCUAUUCCAGUAUAACAGGUGUCCUCAAGUGAAACUUGAGGAGUGGAGGGGCAGAGGGAGCCCCAUGGACUGUAGCCCACCAGGCUCCUCCGUCCAUGGAGUUUUCCAGGCAAGAGUACUGGAGUGUGUUGCCAUUGCCUUCUCCAGGGGCUCUUGUUCACCCUGGGAUUGAAAGCAAGUCUCCUGCAUUGCAGGAACCAC
ensembl:lncRNA